UCAGGACAUAGCUCAGUGGAUAGAGCAUGACACUCAAUCUCAGGGUUGUGGGUUCAAUCCCCACAUUGGGCAAAA